AUUGGUAACAGUUAUAUAAUUGGGGUUUUUGUUUGUGAAACAAUACUAAUUGCAUACAAUAAAAUCAUUUUGUGAAACAUUACACCUCUUAAAGAACAAAAGGCAAGGAAUAACACUGAUUAUCAAACCAAAUGAAAUUAUAAUAUGCUUUACACACACCAAAACCCCAAUUAUAUAACUGUUACCAAUCCUCUAGAGAAUGAGAAAACUAUGUGAGGUCAUUCUCAUCCAAUGGCUCUUCUUCUUCAGCAGCAUCAGUUUUAAAUGCGCUAAGAUCUCCAGUAGGAAGUUUUCUUGCAAGCCUAAUAACCACAUGGUCAAGAUUUGAAAUAGUGCUAGACUGAGAAAGACGUUUAAUCUCUUCAAUAUCACCUUCAGUAUAAGCAGAAAGAAGUUUACUAGCACAGCGGUUCUGGUCACUUCUCAAGAAAGCAUCAAUCUGUGAACAAUCAUUGUAGCACUUCUCUGCUUGCUUGAAAUCAUGAGCAUAAAGAUACACAAUAAUUGCCCCAAGAUACGCUUUGCACUGGCUAUUGGUGGCAUUGCAUUUAUCAGCCGCUAGACCCAAUCUCAACAAGACAGCCGCAGCAUCUGUAUACUUCUCAAGCUU
rnacentral:misc_RNA from 1 species